rnacentral:rRNA from 1 species
UACAGAGGGGGCAAGCGUUGUUCGGAAUUACUGGGCGUAAAGCGUGCGCAGGCGGUGAUGUAAGACAGGUGUGAAAUCCCCGGGCUUAACCUGGGAACUGCAUUUGUGACUGCAUUGCUGGAGUGCGGCAGAGGGGGAUGGAAUUCCGCGUGUAGCAGUGAAAUGCGUAGAUAUGCGGAGGAACACCGAUGGCGAAGGCAAUCCCCUGGGCCUGCACUGACGCUCAUGCACGAAAGCGUGGGGAGCAAACAGG